GAUAAACGCUGGCGGCGUGCCUAAUACAUGCAAGUCGAGCGAACGGACGAGAAGCUUGCUUCUCUGAUGUUAGCGGCGGACGGGUGAGUAACACGUGGAUAACCUACCUAUAAGACUGGGAUAACUUCGGGAAACCGGAGCUAAUACCGGAUAAUAUUUUGAACCGCAUGGUUCAAAAGUGAAAGACGGUCUUGCUGUCACUUAUAGAUGGAUCCGCGCUGCAUUAGCUAGUUGGUAAGGUAACGGCUUACCAAGGCAACGAUGCAUAGCCGACCUGAGAGGGUGAUCGGCCACACUGGAACUGAGACACGGUCCAGACUCCUACGGGAGGCAGCAGUAGGGAAUCUUCCGCAAUGGGCGAAAGCCUGACGGAGCAACGCCGCGUGAGUGAUGAAGGUCUUCGGAUCGUAAAACUCUGUUAUUAGGGAAGAACAUAUGUGUAAGUAACUGUGCACAUCUUGACGGUACCUAAUCAGAAAGCCACGGCUAGCUACGUGCCAGCAGCCGCGGUAAUACGUAAGUGGCAAGCGUUAUCCGGAAUUAUUGAGCGUAAAGCGCGCGUAGGCGGUUUUUUAAGUCUGAUGUGAAAGCCCACGGCUCAACCGUGGAGGGUCAUUGGAAACUGGAAAACUUGAGUGCAGAAGAGGAAAGUGGAAUUCCAUGUGUAGCGGUGAAAUGCGCAGAGAUAUGGAGGAACACCAGUGGCGAAGGCGACUUUCUGGUCUGUAACUGACGCUGAUGUGCGAAAGCGUGGGGAUCAAACAGGAUUAGAUACCCUGGUAGUCCACGCCGUAAACGAUGAGUGCUAAGUGUUAGGGGGUUUCCGCCCCUUAGUGCUGCAGCUAACGCAUUAAGCACUCCGCCUGGGGAGUACGACCGCAAGGUUGAAACUCAAAGGAAUUGACGGGGACCCGCACAAGCGGUGGAGCAUGUGGUUUAAUUCGAAGCAACGCGAAGAACCUUACCAAAUCUUGACAUCCUUUGACAACUCUAGAGAUAGAGCCUUCCCCUUCGGGGGACAAAGUGACAGGUGGUGCAUGGUUGUCGUCAGCUCGUGUCGUGAGAUGUUGGGUUAAGUCCCGCAACGAGCGCAACCCUUAAGCUUAGUUGCCAUCAUUAAGUUGGGCACUCUAAGUUGACUGCCGGUGACAAACCGGAGGAAGGUGGGGAUGACGUCAAAUCAUCAUGCCCCUUAUGAUUUGGGCUACACACGUGCUACAAUGGACAAUACAAAGGGCAGCGAAACCGCGAGGUCAAGCAAAUCCCAUAAAGUUGUUCUCAGUUCGGAUUGUAGUCUGCAACUCGACUACAUGAAGCUGGAAUCGCUAGUAAUCGUAGAUCAGCAUGCUACGGUGAAUACGUUCCCGGGUCU
rnacentral:rRNA from 1 species